GAUGAACGCUGGCGGCGUGCUUAACACAUGCAAGUCGAACGGGAAACCUUUUAUUGAAGCUUCGGCAGAUUUAGCUGGUUUCUAGUGGCGGACGGGUGAGUAACGCGUGGGUAACCUGCCUUAUACAGGGGGAUAACAGUCAGAAAUGGCUGCUAAUACCGCAUAAGCGCACAGAGCUGCAUGGCUCAGUGUGAAAAACUCCGGUGGUAUAAGAUGGACCCGCGUUGGAUUAGCUGGUUGGUGGGGUAACGGCCCACCAAGGCGACGAUCCAUAGCCGGCCUGAGAGGGUGAACGGCCACAUUGGGACUGAGACACGGCCCAGACUCCUACGGGAGGCAGCAGUGGGGAAUAUUGCACAAUGGGGGAAACCCUGAUGCAGCGACGCCGCGUGAAGGAAGAAGUAUCCCGGUAUGUAAACUUCUAUAAGCAGGGAAGAUAAUGACGGUACCUGACCAAGAAGCCCCGGCUAACUACGUG
rnacentral:rRNA from 1 species